rnacentral:rRNA from 1 species
AUGCUGGCCCCAUGGCCAUGCGCGCCACCACCGGAUCCCCUUGCAGUCGCGCCGUACGUGCUGCACCACAACACCCACAGCCUAUGCAUACCAUGCUCGCGGCCGAGCUCCGCCUCCGGCGCCGCCCUUUCUCCCUUCUCCCCCCGCCAGCCGCACCACCGCUCCUACGCUCCCCUGCUGCCUCCUUCCGACCAAAACCGCGACCUGCACCUGCUUCGCGCUGCUGCUCGUCCGAUGUGGCCCUGCAGCCACUCUCGCUUUGUGCUGCACAAGCACUACUGCCUGCCAAUGCGCCACUGCUCCCCGGCCGACCGCACAGCCACCCCCGAGGAGUAG